GAUGAACGCUGGCGGCGUGCCUAAUACAUGCAAGUAGAACGCUGAAGGAGGAGCUUGCUUCUCUGGAUGAGUUGCGAACGGGUGAGUAACGCGUAGGUAACCUGCCUGGUAGCGGGGGAUAACUAUUGGAAACGAUAGCUAAUACCGCAUAAGAGUAGAUGUCGCAUGACAUUUGCUUAAAGGGUGCAAUUGCAUCACUACCAGAUGGACCUGCGUUGUAUUAGCUAGUUGGUGAGGUAACGGCUCACCAAGGCAACGAUACAUAGCCGACCUGAGAGGGUGAUCGGCCACACUGGGACUGAGACACGGCCCAGACUCCUACGGGAGGCAGCAGUAGGGAAUCUUCGGCAAUGGACGGAAGUCUGACCGAGCAACGCCGCGUGAGUGAAGAAGGUUUUCGGAUCGUAAAGCUCUGUUGUAAGAGAAGAACGAGUGUGAGAGUGGAAAGUUCACACUGUGACGGUAUCUUACCAGAAAGAGACGGCUAACUACGUG
rnacentral:rRNA from 1 species